UAUCUACGACUCGAUCUAACUCGUAACACCGUAUAUCGGUGCUACACUAUCUCGAGGGUUCCUCACCCUCAAGACGACACAAUAAAACUAACUCGACACACUAUUCUAACUCUAGACUCAAUAUUCUAACAUGGGCCCUGGUGAUCUCGUGUUCCUCCUCAACAUCGGCAAUAUCCUAUCUCCUUACCACAAAGGCCAGAAGAAGGAACUUUCAACCGACCGCGGCCCACAGUUUUCGGGUCACCGCACGACAGCCCACAGUCCUUCGGGUCACUGCCACAUUACACCGUCGUGUAAUAACUCAGCCCUAGGCCAUGACCCUGUCUCUCUGAGUCUUCCCGAUCCAGCGAAU
rnacentral:lncRNA from 1 species